AGUCUGCAACCCGACUACAUGAAGCUGGAAUCGCUAGUAAUCGCGGAUCAGAAUGCCGCGGCGAAUACGUUCCCGGGUCUUGUACACACCGCCCGUCACGCCAUGGGAGUCGGAAAUGCCCGAAGUCUGUGACCCAACCUACGGGAGGGAGCAGCCGAAGGCAGGUCGGAUGACUGGGGUGAAGUCGUAACAAGGUAUC
rnacentral:rRNA from 1 species